UGGAAAGGGUUCCCUGUUUUACUCUUCCGAGUGUCUGAGGUCAAAAGCUGAACAUCACUCCUAUAUUCUAGAACAUUUGGUAUCAUUUAUGUAAUUAAUGCAGAAUCUGUAUGUAUGUCUUCUUCAAAUAAGGAUCCGGAUUGAGACAGCGACUGCAGACCUGACUUGAUACUUAGGGGCCAAUCCUAAAAAUUCCUAACAGCCUUGGUGUCAGAAGUGGGAUAUUUCCAGACAGUAUAUUUUCAGUCCGUGUGUACAAGGACUUGUGGUGAAUUUCUCAGCUCAACGUCUGUGAAGUCUUCUGAUGUGGAACAGGAACUACUCAAUGUCAACCCAGCAUUGUGGGCCACCAACAAAGAUGAGGCUGGCCUAAUUGACGUUAGGCCAUAUGUGGCUAAACUUCGGUCUAACAUACCAGUAUACUGCAAACAGGACCCACUCUCAAAAGAAAAGGAAGAAGGUAUUGAUACAAUAAUACAACGGUCGCUGUCACAAGGUAUAUUGGAACCAACCCAUUCACCAUAUAACACACCGAUUAAUCCUGUCAAAAAGGCUAAUGUGUGCCAAUCUCGCCUGUCACGCAGCCCCUGUUCGCGUUCACGUACAGAGGCCAACAAUACACAUGGACAAAACUGCCCCAGGUAUUUAGAGACUCGCCUGCUGUGUUCUCUGCUGUAGUGCACACUACUUUGAAAGACACCAAGCUGCCACCACAGACCUGUCUGCUGCAAUACGCUGAUGACAUCCUGGUUUCAAGACAUCAAAAGACAAGCUGCAAUGGGUGAAACCAAGAAUUGACUAUCUGGAUCAUGAGCUGCAGAAAGGAACUAUUCGUCUCUCCACAGAUAGAGUCAAGACAAUAACCACCUUUCAGCGUUCAACAACAAAGACCCAAAUGCAAGGUUUUCUGUGCUUAGUUAAUUAUUUUUGAGCCUGGGUCCCAAACUGCUCAUUGUACGACAAGAUAUUGAGAGAGGCCACAUUCUCGGGGGCCGAAGAGCCCAUUAAAUGGACUGCUGAAAUGGACAUGGCUUUCAAGCACUUGCGUAACAGUCUAAGUUCCCCAUCAGCUCUAGGUCUGCCAAACUAUGGUGAACCUUUCCAUCUGUACGUGCAUGAGGCUAGAGGCACAGCAGCAGCGAUCCUCGCCCAGUCCCAUGGUGGAACAUAUAGACCGGUGGCGUACUUGUCGAAGACACUAGAUGCAGUCGCCAAAGGCCUCCCUGUGUGUCUGUGGGCGGUUGCUGCUGCGGCAUUGAUGGUACAAGAUGCAGAGCGCAUUGUUCUUUCAUACCCUAUGACUAUGCACACCUCGCAUCAGGUAGGAGCAAUUAUGCACAAUAUUAAUACACAACACAUGACAGCACAACGUCGAUCGGGGUAUAAGGCUGCUUUGUUGGCUACUGCUAAUUUCACUAUUAAACCAACCACUGUUGUGCAUGGUUCAACUUUGUCAUUGCAUAAGUUGUUAACCAAUGACCAGUUUUCUGAUGACUCACAUGAUUGCUUGGAUUGUCUGCAUGCAUCCACCUCUUGCAGGCUGGAUGUUUCCUCAUCCGCCCUGGAGGAGGGGGAUCACUGGUAUAUAAAUGGGUGUAGGGCUUUACUGGUUGUUUAGAUCAGUGUUACUAUCAGAAAUAAUUAAUAAUUAUUUCUUUAGUUAUUAAUUAAUAUUUAAAUUAAUUAAUUGAAUCUAACUCAUUAAAACCUCAUAUGGGGCUCUAGUAAAUGUAGUGUGCUAUGUUUAGGAGCAAGUUUGGUUCAAUAUAUCAAAGAUAAUUAUUAAUUAUUAAAAUCAAUAGAACAUUGAUGAGAAUCAAUGUUAGUUUUUUAAUCCUUUAAAUCAACAAUUAUCAAAGAUAAUCGUUAAUUGUUAACAUCAAUGAAACAUUAAUUAAAAUUAACACUAGCUUAUUGAUCAUUCAAAUUCAACAAUCAUCAAAGAUAAUUAUCAAUUAUCAAAAAUCAACAGAAUAUUAAUAAGGAUUAACAUUGAUGGGACACCACCCUGGAAUCAGGGACUAAUAACCAGAUAGUAAAACAGUCUCAAUAUUAGAUUGUUUUCUUAGGAAAAUCGACAUCCGAAGAAUAUCGAUUUUCGGGAAAAAAAAAAAAGGAAUGAAGGCUUGAAUCCGAUCACUGACAUCUCGUCAGCAUGACACAGGCAUAUGCAAAACAAACCAAAACACUUCUCUUUGUAAUAUAAACAAAGUUUAUUUAUGCAGUAAUAUCAGUUAAUAAUUUAUACAAUACAGUCAAUAAACUUCCGACUUACAACUACAAACUAAACAGUGAUAUGAUUAGAUAUGGAAACUAAAAUAAUCCUAUAACACAUAAGGUGUGUGUGUGACAGUGUGUGUGUGUGUGUGUGUGUGUGUGUGUGUGUAAGGAGGGACGCGCACAAAAUGGCGGACGUGACUCUCGUGGAGAGUAUGUCACGCCAGACUUCCGGCCAGGGAAUAUGACCGCGAAUGGGGGCGGAGAGAAACCAGUCAAUGGCGUCUACCAGUUACCGCGUGUAUCCGCUUGUACGAUAGCUUAGGGACAAAGCUGGGCUUUAGCAUUAAGCUAUCUACGAGCCAAAAAUGUGUACCAGAAUGUUUAUGAGGGGUCGCGUGCGUGUGUGUGUGUGGUUAGUACGAGAGAGAGAGAAGUGACGGCCCUAAAGCCGAUUUCGCGAUCGUGGGAGAGAAAGCAGCUGUUAGUUCAUCGCUCAGAGACGCGGUGGAUGGCUCGUAAACAGUCCCGCGUUCUUUGACUCUUUAAUGGAUGAACUCAGUUUACCUGUCUCACCCGCGAUGGCGAAAUUGCACAACAGUCCAAUUUGGUUGGACUACAAUACAGCAAAACAAAUUUGUGAUAAUUAAUACCCUGAGUAUUAAUAAUGAGCGGACAUGGCGGUCUGUAAACUGUACAAGCAAAAACCUUGAAACACAAGAAUAACACACUAUAAUAUUCUAUCUCUGCCCAGACGUAAACCUCUUACUUGAAUCGUAUGAAGACGCAGGUAGAAUGUGUUUUCCUCCGUCCUUUAACUCCGACCCGGUUCCUUGAGGCUCGGGUGAUGACGGGAGGCCGUUUCCUCGCUCUGUUGGCGGGCACGGCUGUUGAUUCUCGGCGGGCUGGCGGAGAACUCAGAAAUGUCGACUUGAUUGAAGAUGGAAGAGAAAUCUUUAAUCUCUUCACUUAUGCAGACAAACGGGUGAAGAUGCGGAUUGCUCAGUGGUCUCCUUCGGAUCCGUUAGAGUGUUCGGUUGAACACAGAGUAAUCUCAACUUGUCCAGCGAAAUGGAGAUUGUAUGGCCACGGUUUCUAGUUGGACGUUACUUCCUUGUGCCACGAGGUUGCACCUGAGAGCAGCGGUGAGCUGCGUCUACACACUGCAAACAAAGUUGCUGGAAGCAAAUCCCGGAAGCAUUUCAGAGGUAUUUCUACUCCUGAUGAUGUCAUGGUUUGAGGGACGUUCUGUUGUGUGCCUCAUCCAAUAGGAGUUGAGAGUUCGAUCCUUUAGUGAGCAAGGCUUCAUGGGAUUUGUAGUCUGUUUUGGACUCCCUUUGUUUGAUUUUGGCACGAUUUUUAUCAGUAAGAUUUACGACUUGGUGUGUGGGGGCUGAGUUAGGUUUUAUGACUGUGUAAGGCCUGCCUUUGUCUUCUAUCUGAAUACAUGAGGCCCAACAUGGGUCAUGUUCAAAACCGAAUGAUGCUGUAUACUGGUGUGGUUAUGACGUAACUGAACUUCCAAAUCGUAUUAUCGAAGCAUAUUUACUUCCAUACAAAUCCGCACAAGCAGCAUGAGUUGUUUGCAUUGAUUAGAGCAUGCCAAUUGGCCAAAGACAAAUCAAUCAAUAUAUACACAAACCAAUAUCAAUAUCAAAUCAAUCAAUAUAGACUCAAAAUACGCAUAUGGAUGCUGCAUGAUUUUGCCCGUAUGUGGGAAGAAAGAGAUUUUAAGACAGCCGAGGGCAAACCGAUAUCCCAUCAUAACUUAGUAGCAGAGCUCCUGAGAGCAGCACAGUUGCCUGCUAAACCGGCUGUAAUAAAAGUCGCAGGGCACAUGACAGGAGAGUUUGAGGAGCCAAGGAGAAACAGAUUGGCUGAUGAGGUUGCAAAAUGGGCAGCGAAGGAAGUUGUGGUAAGCCCUGAUCUAAAUCAAGCUGAUGAAACUGUUUUGAUGAUGCAGUCUACUUUAGUCAGAGAUAUUGACAUCAAAUUGUUGCAGGAAAAUCCAUCUGAAUCUGAUCUCCAACACUGGGCCUCUAAUGAAGUAAAACCAAAUCAAAAUAAUUUGUUACGAGACAAACAAGGGCACCUAGCUUUACCAAAAACAGCCAUAGUGAUACUUUGUCAACAUUAUCAUGGUAUUUUUCAUGUGUCAAAAGAAAAGGUAAUCCAGUCAAUUAAUCAAACUUAUUGCAUAAAUGGGGUGCAGAAUGCAGUAAAUUUGAUCUUGGAUUCAUGUAUAACGUGCACACAGAAUAACAGACAUAAGCCUAUAAAACACGACUCGUUACUGCAUCCAGAACUACCAUUCCAACAUUUGCAAAUUGAUUUUAUACACAUGCCACCGUGUCGAAACAAUAAACUAUUAUUAGUCAUUGUGGACUGCUUCUCCAAGUGGAUGGAAGCCUUCCCGUGUGCGAGGGAAAAUGCUAAGACCGUGGUUAAAAUUUUAGCUAAGAAAUAAUACCGAAGUUCGGUAUCCUGUCGAUCAUUGAAAGUGAUAAUGGCACACCGUUUGCUUCAUAGGUAACACAGCUCUUAGCAAAAGAACUAAACAUAAACUGGCAUUUUAACAUAUCGUAUCAUCGGAGAACUAACUGCACUCUGAAAGAAUGCCUACACAAGGCCUGUACUGAAACAGGAAGAACAUGGGUUGAUAUAAUGCUGGCUGUGUUGACUGAGCUCAGAAAUUCACCAUACUCUACCUAAGCUUUCUCCAUUCCCAACCCCAUGGAUCAAAGGCCGCACUGGCUUUCUCUCUCCACAGGUGACACUGAGGUGUUGAUCGCAGAAUAUGUGGAUUCCCUCAUUAAGACAUUAAGUGGCAUAAAUGGUAAUGCCUCUCUCUCUCUCUCUGCCUGCAGAUAGCCCUACUCACCCAUUUGUCAGCAGGUUCUGAUCAGCUGUCUAAAACCUACUAAGCUGGGGGAGCCAAAGUAUCUGGGCCCAGCUACUGUUCUGGUGGUGAUCAGAACCGGAGUGCUAACGGAUCUUCAAUCACAGUGGAUACAUGCAAGCUGUGUGAAACCUGCACCUGAGGAGAGCCCGAAAAAACGAUGAAAGUACUGGAGGAGCUGAACACGUAGCGCCAGUGCCUAACCGGGAACUUGAGAAUUAGGAGGGCCAGAGGAGGGAUGAAAACUACAUAAUAUUGAUAUGCUUCAUUAUGUACACUUACAUGCUGUCAAAAUCAGCUGAGAUUCUGAGUGAUCCUUCCAGGAUCAAAGUGGGCAUUGGGAGAAAAGUCUCAGCACCUCUAAUUUGACCUUUUCAGUUGAUCUAUAAUUAAGCAAGCUGACAUUUAACGGCUAGUACUAAGUUCCUUUUUUCAUAGUGUGUGUGUGUCAGUAACGGAAAUCAUGUGGAAAGGGUUCCCUGUUUUAUGCUUCUGAGUGUCUGAGGUGAAAAGCUGAACAUCACUCCUAUAUUCUAGAACAUUUGGUAUCAUUUAUGUAAUUAGUGCAGAAUCUUUAUGUAUGUCUUCUUCAAAUAAUGUAAUGACGAUCUCAUUGGAUAAUGUAGUUAGUGUACAGCUUUUCCUGUUCCUACAAAGGUAUAUAAUGCUGUGCUGAACAAUAAAGUAUGAGAAAUCUUUGAUGCAUA